rnacentral:rRNA from 1 species
CCCCCAGUUGGGGAAUAUUGGGCAUGGGAGCAAGUUUUGACCACAGCACCGCCGCUGAAGGUAGAACGCUUUUGGGUUUAAAACUUCUUUUUUCAGGGAAGAGUUGAAGACGGUUCCUGACGAAUUAGCCCCGUCUAACUACGUGGCAGCAGCCGCGGUAAUACUUAGGUGCCAAGCGUUUUCCGGAUUUACGGGGUGUAAAAGGGCGUGCAGCCGGGCCCGUCAAGUCAGAUGUGAAAUCUGGGAGGCUUAUCUUCCAAACUGCAUUUGAAACUGUAGGUCGUGAGUACCGGAGAGGUUAUCGGAAUUCGUUGUGUAGCGGUGAACUGCGUAGAUAUAAUGAAGAACACCAGUGGCGAAGGCGGAUAACUUGACGGCAACUGACGGUGAGGCGCGAAAGCGUGUGGAGCUAACAGGAUUAGAUACCCUGGUAGUCCACGCUGUAAACGAUGGAUACUAGGUGUGCGGGGACUGACCCCCUGCGUGCCGCAGUUAUCACUAUAAGUAUCCCACCUGGGGAGUACGAUCGCAAGGUUGAAACUCAAAGGAAUUGACGGGGGCCCGCACAAGCGGUGGAUUAUGUGGUUUAAUUCGAAGCAACGCGAAGAACCUUACCAGGGCUUGACAUCCUACUAACGAAGUAGAGAUACAUCAGGUGCCCUUCGGGGAAAGUAGAGACAGGUGGUGCAUGGUUGUCGUCAGCUCGUGUCGUGAGAUGUUGGGUUAAGUCCCGCAACGAGCGCAACCCCUAUUGUUAGUUGCUACGCAAGAGCACUCUAGCGAGACUGCCGUUGACAAAACGGAGGAAGGUGGGGACGACGUCAAAUCAUCAUGCCCCUUAUGUCCUGGGCUACACACGUAAUACAAUGGCGGUCAACAGAGGGAGGCAAAGCCGCGAGGCAGAGCAAACCCCCAAAAGCCGUCCCAGUUCGGAUCGCAGGCUGCAACCCGCCUGCGUGAAGUCGGAAUCGCUAGUAAUCGCGGAUCAGCAUGCCGCGGUGAAU